rnacentral:rRNA from 1 species
AAACCAUAACGACUCUGGGCAACGGAUAUUUCGGCUCUCGCAUCGAUGAAGAACGUAGCGAAAUGCGAUACUUGGUGUGAAUUGCAGAAUCCCGUGAACCAUCGAGUCUUUGAACGCAAGUGGCGCCCGAAGCCAUUAGGCCGAGGGCACGUCU